rnacentral:rRNA from 1 species
AUACGGAGGAUGCGAGCGUUAUCCGGAUUUAUUGGGUUUAAAGGGUGCGUAGGCUGUGCGUUAAGUCAGGGGUGAAAUGCCGUCGCUCAACGACGGAGCUGCCCUUGAUACUGGCGUGCUGGAGUACGGAUGCCGUUGGAGGAAUGAGUGGUGUAGCGGUGAAAUGCCUAGAUAUCACUCAGAACACCGAUUGCGAAGGCAUCUGACGAAUCCGUCACUGACGCUGAGGCACGAAAGCGUGGGGAUAGAACAGGAUUAGAUACCCUGGUAUUCCACGCCGUAAACGAUGAUGACUAACCGUCGGCGAUAGACAGCCGGUGGCCAAGCGAAAGCGAUAAGUCAUCCACCUGGGGAGUACGUCGGCAACGAUGAAACUCAAAGGAAUUGACGGGGG